UUGAAGCUGAAAUAGAUAGAAAUCAAGGAUUCAUAGAAAGCUGAAAAUUGAGCCACGGUUUCAUUGUGGUUAAGCCUGAGAUGAAUCUUUAGAUAUGAGUAAUUAAUUUCAUUGUGGUUAAGCCUGAGAUGAAUCUUUUGUAAGCUAUAUAUGACCAUGUAUGAAUUGACUAAAGACUUUGAAUGACUACUAACCACAACUUCCCUAGAUUAAUGGUACAUGCAAGCAUAGUGCAAGGAGUGGUCUUUGUGUGGCCAAAAAUUGCAAAAUGGAAAAGUUACUCAAAACUCGAAAGUAAUAUUGACUUGAAUCAGAAAAUAGUAAAGCGUGUUUCACCACGGUUCCAAGAAAAAAAACACUUAAAGUCUCAAAGUUAUCUUAUUUAUACACACCCUUAUGUAUAUACCUCAUAAUAACAAAUUCAAUAAGAGUAAAAGAUUAAUACAAAA